ACUGUAUCAGUUUUUGCUUGUUUCCCCAUGACCUUUGGAGCCCAUUCAAAGUCAUCUUCCUUUUGCUUUGCUUUAAAUUCAAUCCCAUGCAUGUUGCCAGCUGAUUUGUUGCCUGUUUUCACACGUCGCCAGCAAAUCACCACCUCUUCAUAUUGUUUAGACAGUCAUCAAAUGUAGGCCUGCCAGCAGUCUUUGUUAACGGAGUAGGAAGGCUUGGUGCAUCCCGCUCAUGUGGCCUGAAAGGAACUGGAAAGCUGCUUGAUUCCAGCUAAUGAAUCUUUAAAGCCCAGCGUGGGACUUUUAUGGCCAGAGCAAAGUCAGGCUUCACUGGACAAAGCCUUUUGGCCUAUUGGUGUGGACCCAAGCUCUGCUUGUCUGUCUCCUGAUACAGACUGUGCUCCACCAUGCUGGAAUUUUGUCCUUCAGAUUGUGCCAGAGGUUUGGCUUGUGCUAGCUCUGGAUGGAGACAGCUUGUAUCAUGGAGCCAGAGGACAGUUGGAAUGGGAAGAUAUAGCAUGGUUAACCAGAAUCCAGACUCAUCUGAGCUCCUUGGGCAUCUCCCACUGCAACA
rnacentral:lncRNA from 1 species